rnacentral:tRNA from 1 species
GGUUGUAGCUCAAUGGUAGAGCGCUUGCCUAGCAUGUUUGAGGCACUGGGUUUGAUCCUUAGCACCA